rnacentral:rRNA from 1 species
AUACGGAGGAUCCGAGCGUUAUCCGGAUUUAUUGGGUUUAAAGGGUGCGCAGGCGGGAGAUUAAGUCGGCGGUGAAAUUUUGCAGCUCAACUGUAAAAGUGCCUUCGAAACUGGUUUCCUUGAGUGUAGAUGAAGUAGGCGGAAUUUGUGGGGUAGCGGUGAAAUGCAUAGAUAUCACGAGGAACUCCGAUUGCGCAGGCAGCCUACUAAACUACUACUGACGCUCAGGCACGAAGGCGUGGGGAUCAAACAGGAUUAGAUACCCUGGUAGUCCACGCAGUAAACGAUGAUUACUAGCUGUUUGCGAUACAAUGUAAGCGGCUGAGCGAAAGCGUUAAGUAAUCCACCUGGGGAGUACGUUCGCAAGAAUGAAACUCAAAUGAAUUGACGGGG